UCUAUGGAGGACAUAGUUCCCCCCUCAUGCUUCUCGGUGAGCAUCAUUCCUCUCCCUGGCCUCGUGGAGAACCUUGUUCCUCUCCCUGGCCUCGCAGAGAACCUUGCUCCCCUCUAUGGCUUCGCGGAGUAUAUCGCUCCUGUCAGGUGGAAGUUGUCCUGCUGUCCUGCCACGCAGAUGUCACUCUGAGCUCCAGCUCUGUUGAAGUCGCUCUGCUUUCCUGCCCUGCUGAGGACGUCGUUCUGCUUUUCAGUUCUACUGUGGGUAUUUUGCUCAUGGUACCAGGACCCCCAGAUUGAGGGAGUGCAUUUUUGGGUGCUCCAAGAGAAGUGCCCUUGGGUGGGGGGGGGGGGGUUCUGUCAUGUCUAGGAGGUAACUCUGGACUUCAGUUCCCAUCAGCCACUGCACUGUACUACAUGUCGCAUGAUCACCUGCACCUGAAUCAUGUUUCUGUUAAUGAGCACACUUGUAUAUAGCCAUUGUUUGCACUGCUUCUGUCUUAUGUUUGUCUUAGACCACCGUGUUCCAUGUUACCAUGUUCAUUGAUCUUGUUAGUUUGUCUAGUUUUUGCCACAGUAUUAUGCCAAGUUGUCUUAGUGUCUUUGUUUUGUUUGUUUAAUAAACUGUUUGAAAAUCUGCGAUUGCUUCAGCAUCAACUUUGAGAUGUGACGGAGUGAACAUGUUUGCCAGGUUGUAGCCUUUGGCCAUACUGCCAUUGCAAAUAUAGUAAAAGAACAGGAUAUACAGGAGUAGUGCUAUGAAGAACACAGAAGUGUUUGUGUAAGGAGCCCAUUGGAGUAGGUGCCUGUAGAGCAACAUGGUCUGAAAACAUCAACACUGGCCUCUUAGCAAAGGACUUUCUCUCAUCAACAAUGGAGAGGCAGGCAGAUCUAACAUUUUUGGCACAGCAGGCAGCACUGCAGGCUCACAGCUCCUCUGGUUUGAUCCUGAACUCAGAUUACUGCCUGUGUGGAGAUGUGUAUGUUCUCUCCAAGUGCACAUAGGUUUCCUUCAGGUUCUCUGGUAUCCUCCAGCAUUUCACCCACUGUUCCUGAGAUGCUUUGGAUCCACCACAACCCUGACAACCCUGUAUUGAAAAUGAAUGAAUGAAUGAAAAAUACCCUCAGAUUUGCUCAUGGUACCAUUUGUAAUACAUGUUUAUCUUCAAUGAUAGCAUUAACCUACUACCUACAUGAGAUUAGCUAUGAAUUUCUUAAAGGGUCAUAUUUCAAAAACUGUUCAUAAGUUUCCUGCUAAUGCUAGCUAGAUGGCUAACAUAACC